rnacentral:rRNA from 1 species
GAUGAACGCUGGCGGCGUGCCUAAUACAUGCAAGUCGAGCGAACAGACGAGGAGCUUGCUCCUCUGACGUUAGCGGCGGACGGGUGAGUAACACGUGGAUAACCUACCUAUAAGACUGGGAUAACUUCGGGAAACCGGAGCUAAUACCGGAUAAUAUAUUGAACCGCAUGGUUCAAUAGUGAAAGACGGUUUUGCUGUCACUUAUAGAUGGAUCCGCGCCGCAUUAGCUAGUUGGUAAGGUAACGGCUUACCAAGGCAACGAUGCGUAGCCGACCUGAGAGGGUGAUCGGCCACACUGGAACUGAGACACGGUCCAGACUCCUACGGGAGGCAGCAGUAGGGAAUCUGCCGCAAUGGGCGAAAGCUUGACGGAGCAACGCCGCGUGAGAGAUGAAGGUCUUGGGAUCGUAAAACUCUGUUAUUAGGGAAGAACAAAUGUGUAAGUAACUAUGCACGUCUUGACGGUACCUAAUCAGAAAGCCACGGCUAACUACGUG